rnacentral:lncRNA from 1 species
CUUUCGGAGCUGUGCGGCAGGCUGAGCAGGAAUGGCAAUGUGGACCUCUGUGAUGGGACAACUGGUGGGAUCUCACAUCCAGUUCUGUGUCAAAGGAGGAUGAAGACUAAGGACUCAUGAGGAAGCUGGAUUACUGGACGAGAGCAAUGUUCUAGAAGGGAAGACCAGAAAAUGAGAUGGUGGAGUUUAAUAAGGCUGGACAGACAGUUUUGAAAGGCUCCUGUGACAAGUAGACAUGGCAGUGACUUCACCAUUUUGUUUCUGAGGUGCCUGGAUGGAGACUCAAAUAGAAGAUGGUGUCAGAUACAUUGUGUUGUCAAGAUUUUACCAUUAAAGUGUGUUAUAAACAUGAA